rnacentral:rRNA from 1 species
UAUCCGGAUUCACUGGGUUUAAAGGGCUCGUAGGUGGGCAAGUAAGUCAGUGGUGAAAUCUCCGGGCUUAACCCGGAAACUGCCAUUGAUACUAUUUGUCUUGAAUACUGUGGAGGUCAGCGGAAUAUGUCAUGUAGCGGUGAAAUGCUUAGAUAUGACAUAGAACACCAAUUGCGAAGGCAGCUGGCUACACAAAUAUUGACACUGAGGCACGAAAGCGUGGGGAUCAAACAGG